AGACCAUGGUGAGGGCAUUUUUGUACCAACAACUUGAAUUGCUCCCAAGCUUCGUGAAAGCUUUCUCCUUCUAAUUGCUUAAACGUGGCAAUCUCUCUCCUUAUUU
rfam:Gossypium hirsutum cultivar TM-1 chromosome 10, whole genome shotgun sequence